CUCAUCCCUAGUCCCUAAAGCCUAACCUGCUUGUUCCUUUGCCUCAAGUGAUUAUCGUCAUGCUACUGAUGGUGGGGUUUGACAAUCAUCUGAAGUUCAAGAGGUCCCCAGAAAUGUACAACUUUCUGAACUACUUAUUCAGGUCAUGAUCCCAGCAUCCUGGGAUGGAGCCCCACAUUGGACUGUCUCCUCGGCAGGGAGCCUGCUU
rnacentral:lncRNA from 1 species